rnacentral:lncRNA from 1 species
AGGACACCCUAUUAAACGAGUAACUCCAGCUAUUAUUUGAAGAGAGCGUUUCGCUUUUCUUCUGUUAUAGAACACCACACUAAAAUUUAUACCAGGAAAACAAGCCAGCCAGAAAGUCCUUGAGGUUCUCUAGUGACUUUGCUGUCAAUCAAAUUAACAUGGAAGAUGCUCAAAUGCUGCUACUUUAAUGGGCAGAGGGACAAAUCUCCUGCCACACUGCAAAAAGGCUUUUCAAAAAAAAUUGCAACUAGAUGCCAUGUGAGCUGGAUGAGACUCACAGAAGCCUGAGCCUGGGACUACAAUGGGAUGUGAUGGAUUUGGAGUGCUAACUGCCAUUUCAGAUGGCCUAUGCCCCAGUCCACAAUUUCUCAGCCUGCUUUUCAGCUGCUGUUCCAGCCUGGCUGCCCAGAGACAACCCUUUUCCCUGUUUUACAGUGUUUCUUGCAACAGAUUCUUUGGUGCCAAACUCUCUGACUGUAGCAGAAAGAGCAGGGACUCCUCUGUUGGGAAUGGAUAUCGCCAGAGAGCACUGCGUAGAAGUCAUGUGCUGCAAUGUGCACACUCCAGAGUGAACUGGUCAGAGCCUUCCCUGUGGAUCUGCCCAGCAUGA